CCUACGGGGGGCUGCAGUGGGGAAUAUUGCACAAUGGGGGAAACCCUGAUGCAGCGACGCCGCGUGAAGGAAGAAGGUCUUCGGAUCGUAAACUUCUAUCAGCAGGGAAGAAGGAAGUGACAGUACAUGAAUAAGAAGCACCGGCUAACUACGUGCCAGCAGCCGCGGUCAUACGUAGGGGGCAAGCGUUAUCCGGAAUAACUGGGUGUACAGGGUGCGUAGGCGGUAGGGCAAGUCAGAUGUGAAAGCCCGGAGAUCAACUUCGGGACUGCAUUUGAAACUGUCUUACUAGAGUGCAGGAGAGGAAAGCGGAAUUCCUAGUGUAGCGGUGAAAUGCGUAGGUAUUAGGAAGAACACCAGUGGCGAAGGCGGCUUUCUGGACUGUAACUGACGCUGAGGCACGAAAGCGUGGGGAGCGAACAGGAUUAGAUACCCCUGUAGUC
rnacentral:rRNA from 1 species